AUCCUAAAAUGAGCGCUCUUCUGGGCUCCCGGAGCUCGGAGGAAGGCGUAGCUAGAGAUAGCUUGCUCCCUCUCCCUCUCCCUCUCCCUCUCUCUCUCUCUCUCUCUCUCACUCUCUCUCCCCUGCCCUCCCCCCUUGGUGUUUCUUCCAGCUCAGCCUCCUUCUCAUUCCAUCUCUACGUGCCCAGAGCUUCAAAUACAACCCUCCCAUCGCAAUCAGAUGGGCACAAAACUUCAAGCAGCCGUUUCUCUGCCUGGAAGCGGUGAAAAUAUAGCCUGGAUGGGUGGGGAUGCCGAGGCCCGGAGAAGUUGAGCAGUUAGCCCAAGGGCACAGCGGCAGAGCUGGGCACGAGACGGGGUCCCCCGCAUUCUGCGUGCGAUCAGCCUGCCUCGUCCACCUGCCGGGCGACGGCACCGGCUCCAGCAUCUUCCCUGCAGGAGCAGGUACACAGAAGGCGCUCCUGUGCUCACGGGCCCCGAGGAGAAGCCGGACGCGUCUCUCAUACCCCGGCCUCUGGUCUCAGAAGAGCAGCUUGAGCAUCUCUCUCUCCUGCCUCCGUCCCAAGUCCCCUCCUCGCAGCCUCCCGAGACGGGACCGCGGCCACCUCCGCAGAGCCAGCCCCAGGGGACCAGGUCUCCUGUCCCCGGGACCCCUGGGACACCGCUCGCCGACUGACCUAUAUUCCGCUCCACUGCUAUUUGCCGUCUUUGUCCCCUCCCGCCCAGCACGCAACCCCACCCUGCCCAAACACUCCCGUCCCUCCAAGGACGUUGUAAAAAUAAAACGAUCACAACCUGGCCCUCGGGGAACCUUG